AGUCAACUCUGCAUUGAAAAGACUCUCCCUCCCUCCGUUCCUACCUUCCACAAGCAUCUCAGUGUCUGGUUCUGUGUUGGGUCCUGGAGAAACAGAAAUGCAUCAGAGAUCACCCCUGCCCUUGUGGAGCUCACCAUCUGCCCCCAGGUUAACAGCUACCACCCUCAGGAAGCCGUGCCUGGUUCUUGCCAGCUGGAAGUCAUCACCCCUCUUCUGAUCGGUCCUUGCACAGCAUCUGUGAGUGCCUCGAAGGCAGAGACCAUGUCUGAUUUCUCUUUGCAUGUACGGGCUCUAGCCCCCG
rnacentral:lncRNA from 1 species